rnacentral:lncRNA from 1 species
CUGUAUCAUGUGAUGGCUCCGGUGAUGUUGGAGGCGGCAUGUGACUCCCAGGGCUACGUGGGCUCAAAAACAAUUUAAAUACAAAAACACACGCAGGUUCCCCUCCUUCCCUUUGCCUUUUGGUCUGGCUCUCUCUACCUUUGCGUUGGUGCCUGACCGAAUGGAAAACCCUUCUUCGUUUUGCAGCCUGUGAGCUCCGGGUACCUGGAGACAAGGCCCCUGUGCUGCCCCCACCCCAGGAGCCGUCCCCCCAGCAUUCUGCAGUCCUCUGACUAUCAGCCUGGUGUGGACACUGAGGCCCAGAGAGGUGAUGUGAUUUGCCUAAAGUCAUGCAACUAGUGGCAGAGCCCAGCCUAGAAGCCAGGUGUCCUGGAUCUCAAGAUACUCCACUGCCUGAGGAAUGGAACAGUCACAGGUUCCACACACUGGUGGUGAUUCACUGCACUGUACAUACAACACUGAGACAUUUUAGCAACUUGUCCAUGACACUUGCGAGUCUGCUCCUGAACGCCCGCUGCGCAGAUAUUUUGAGUCUGUCUCAUACGGUGGAACGAAGCAAUAGAGGGAAACAUCACUUCUCCUCCGGUUUGGAGAUCCCGAUGAGUCUGCAUUUCUGGAGCGCCAUCUGGCAUGGCAGGAACAAAAUUCUCAUAGCUAGCCGAAAACUCUUCAAUGCCAAAUGUAAAAGAUCACAACAAUCCCUUCCACAAUUGUGAGUUGGCAGCGCUUCUUGAUAAAUUUGGAAGGCAUUUACAGUGACUAUAUCCAACUUUAACUGGGCGGUGUCUUGGUUUCUUUUCUGUUGCUGUGAUUUUAAAACAAAACAAAACAAAAAAAGAAACAAAAAUCAGGUGGGGAAAAAAAGCCAUUUAAGGGAGAAAGGAGUGCUUUCGGCUCACAGUUCGUGGUCCGUCAGGGUGGAAGUCGUGGCCAUGGGAAGUUAAGGCAGCUGGGCAAGUUAUGUCCACAGUUAGAAGACAGUGAUGAAAGCCACACUAGGGAUCAAAGCAUAAGGUCACCCUAUCAUCAGCAAAGGAUCCCUUGUCCCGGCAAUGGCCCCACCCACAGCUAAGAUGCGCUUCCCAUUAUCAGUAAUCAAGGUGAUCCCGCCACAGUGGUGACCAGUGGCUCAUCUCCCUGGUGAUUCUACAUUCUGUCGAGCUGUGGCUAAUUAACACUAAUGGCCAUUAGCAGCAUCUUAAUGACACGGUUCAGCUAAAAAUGUACUGAUGUUUCACCUCUUUAAUUAAUUUAACUUUGAUACGUUCUUUUAUUCUACAGGAAACUAUCUGUUGGCCUUUUCAACAUUGUUCACGCUCCUCUGUGGGGGUGGCCAUAGAGGCUGGGCUGAUUUUCAUCCCCACAAACAAAAUCUAAGGGUUCCUCCCCUCAACCCUAGCAUUUAAGAUUUUAAAAAAUUGAAUAAAGCUAAAAUGACUCACCACACUCAUAUUUGAAGUGCUGAAGGGCAAUGUGUGGCCACUCUAUGCCCAGGGAGGCUCUGGUCCCCGGAGAUAACCACACGGGGACCGGUUCUCUGCUCAGUGUCUAAGUAGGUGCCCAGAGAGGUUGGUGGGAGGGAUAUCCUGCAAUGUCCUUGACAGCAGCCACUGACCAGAGCAACUCAUAUAGCCCUGACCUCACCUGACGAUGCCAAAGCAAUCAAACAAUAGUAACGUCCGCCAUGUAUCUAUUCUGAGGACCUUUAGGCCAGAUUUAAAAAUAGACACACAGCUAGAUCAAAGAUGUAUUAUUAUAUUACUAGGGGGAUGGAGGAAAAUCAAGUUGUACCAUGUGACAAUUUUUUUAAUACUGUACUUUUAAGAUGAAGGCUAGAUGGGAUCUGGAGAAAUGGCUUGGUGGUUUAGAGCACAGUUUGUUCUUCCAGAGUACCUGGCUUCCAUUCCCAGCACUCACAUGGUGGCUUACAGCCACAAUAACUCUGGUUUAAGGGGAACUGAUGCCCUCUUCUGGCCUUCUUGGGCACUGCAUACAGAAGGUACACAGACAUAUAUUGUAGGCAAAACACAUAUAAAAUAAAAAUAAGCCUUCUAAAAAGCAAAUGAUAAGUCAUUAAUAGGUAGCAGACACGUAGAUAAACAGGACACAGCCAGGAUACCUGGAUCUAUUGAUGUGAGGUCAGAAGUUCAAUCCUCCAACUUAAAAAGCCUGUGUGGCUAUGAAUGACGGUCAUCUUAGCAAGCAGGAUUUGCUGACCAGGCUGCCACACUGAAUUGAUGAAUUCUCCAUUCAGUGAAGGAUCCUGUCUAAAUAAAUUGAGUGAUGUGCAGUUGAGCCAGGAAGACAUCUGAUGUCAAUAUUCUCAUUCGUUAGUUAAUUAGUUAGCUAGUUUUUGUCUACUUGACACAGCUAGAGUUAUCUGAGAAGAGGGAGAAAAUGAGAAAAAGUUCCUAUCAGACUGGCCUGUAGGUGACUCAGUGGAGCAUCUCCUUGAUUACUGAUGUAAUCAAGAUGUGGGACGAUGUGGGGGAAAUGUGGGAAGGCCCCUGGGGUAGCCCUGAGUGAUGUAAGGGAGCAGGGUAAGCAAGCCAUGAGGACCAAGCCAGUGAGAAAGGGUUCUUUCAUAGUCUCUGCUUCGGGUCCUGCCCCUAGAGUUUGGUUCCCCUCAGAUAAUGUACUGCCACAGGGAUAUGUAAG